GAAGAUAUAGCUCAGUGGUAGAGCAGCUGCUUAACACGCACAAGGUCCUGGGUUUAAUCCCCAGGUACUUCCA
rnacentral:tRNA from 1 species